UACGUAGGGGGCAAGCGUUGUCCGGAUUUAUUGGGCGUAAAGAGCGUGUAGGCGGCCAGGUAGGUCUGCUGUGAAAACUCGAGGCUUAACCUCGAGCUGUCGGCGGAAACCAUCUGGCUAGAGUCCGGAAGAGGAGAAUGGAAUUCCCGGUGUAGCGGUGAAGUGCGCAGAUAUCGGGAAGAACACCCGUGGCGAAGGCGGCUCUCUGGGACGGUACUGACGCUGAGACGCGAAAGCGUGGGGAGCGAACAGG
rnacentral:rRNA from 1 species